rnacentral:lncRNA from 1 species
UUGUCUCCUUCAUCGCUGUUCGUCUGUGCCUAGCACAGUGCUUGGAAUCCAGUUGAGAGUUCAAUACAGUAUGUUGGUGUUUGAUCUUAUGCCUAUCACUUCAUGGUCCCAAGAUUGUUUGUAAAGUUCCAGACAUCACACCUAUAUCAUCC